rnacentral:misc_RNA from 1 species
UGACACACCUACUCCGCGUACUGGCGGCUCAGCUUAGCGUGUUUCUUGUUUCUCUGCAUCCGCGUCGGACGGCGCAGCCCUCCCCUUUUUUUCGCUUCGCGUAUCUCUCCUUCGUCUCUUGCCAGAAACGCACUGUCUCACCGGCAAUGCAAGUGGAGGGCAACUGGAAGGCUGCGGCCAACUUGAAUCUUCUUCUCGGUCUCGAGCACCCGCCAGCGCGGCUGGAGAAGCCACUGCUUAUGCCACAGCAGCGCAGCGCUGGCAGCUCUGCCCUUGUCACGGUGGAGGCACGCAACACCGCCAACUUCAGGAGCUCCUCCUACUGCGGCCUCCAAGACAAGUCCGCGCCGACGAUUCGAAGGCACGUGAUCGACUACUACAAGGAGAUGCUACACCGCGUGCCUCUCUGGCGAGGGCUCGCGAAGACACAGCAGGAAGGCAGCUGCCGGGGUACAGUGGUGAAGUCAGAGCUGGAAGAUGAUGAUGAUGCUGACGGAAUGGUCCCUCUGGCAGGAGGUGCGCCGCUUGCCUCCGGCGGGUCAUUGCUCCGUGCUGUUGGCAUCCUGACGCGAGUGCAGGAUGCGUCGGCGGUGAGUGCGGUCACCCAGCAAGCACCGUGGGAGUUCUACGUGGUGCGGGACGUGGAUGACGACGAGUGCUACGUUCGUGCUCUGCAGGCAUUGGCGCAGGCGGAUCGAACGGCAGACGCGUCGUUUGCUCUCCUGCAAGAUGCAUCGCACGCCGGCUUCUGCGCGCGAGCCUCAGGUAGGAUGGAGAGCAGCACCGCCCGGUCCUCCACAGGGGUGGCAACGACAUCGGCGAUUGGUGAGGCCGGGGAGGAAACGCCAGGGACGGCCGCCGAGGCUGACGAGGAGGCGGCGGCCUGUGAUGGCACUCGCCUUUCGCUCUACACGCGACAGGCUUCAUGGUUUACAGGCCUUCAUCCCGGUAUGGCUGUCGGCAUCAUCGGCGACCCGUUUCAGCGCAGUGCCCGCGGCGUUCUCACGGGCGUACUGGUGCGCGAGUUCGUCCUGCCAUCGCGGCCGACGUUGCCAUGGCGAGUGGACCGGCCACUGCUGUCUGCGGCCGUGACAUCAACUUCGGGUGCCGGCGCCCUCGCCGAUGGCAGCGGCGCUGGCGUGCGCAUCCACUUUUGCAGUGGGCCGUUCCCACGGCGCGACGUGUCGGGGCUGCUGCGCACGGUGACCACCCAAGCGCUGCACCGCGGCGCGGAUGUGCUGAUUAUUGGUGGCCCUUUUAUUCUCCCCUUCGCCAGCGACUUUGAGCGCGAGUUGCUGCCGUCGCUAGGCGCCACCUUCAACGAGGUGAUGGAGAGUUUUGUGGACACGUUGGAGGAGACGCUGAAGAAUUACUACUCUACGCGGCCGCUUCUGCCACACAUGAAGGUGCUGCUCGUGUCGCACAGGGGUGACGUCACCCAAAUCCCUGUGCUGCCCACCACCAUGUACGCGAUCGCGGACACAGACGACAUCCUCAUUCGCUCGAACCCGUGUCGGCUGUCGGUUAAUGGGGUGCACAUCAGCGUAUGCAACGAGGAUGUCGUGGGCGACAUGCGUGAGCGCAUGGUGGAGCGGUGGCCGACCGCCGAGGGUAGCCUGCGACGUGUCGUAGAGACCUUGGUGAACGGCCGCCUGUAUGUCCCGCUCUACAGUAUACCUGUGAUGACGGCAGAUCUAAAGCAUCUCCCUCACUUGCGAAUGGACUACGUGCCGUCGCAGAACGAGCUGCUCGAGAUCACGCCGGCUGCUGCUGCGUUGACAGGCCGCUCUGCUGCAAACGACAGUCGCCGUGGCGAUGCCGACGGCGGUGAUGCCACCAUGAGUACGCCGAGCGCCAGCUCCUCACGUGGUUGGGAGGCUGUGUUUAAUGUCGCGGAACAGCCGUCCACCGACCUGGCGGGGUCGCUGCAGCACAAGGUGAAGCGGGUGAAGCUGGAGGAUGCAGCCGGUGACAAUGAGGAGGGGGAUGCGGCGACCGCACCUGGCAGCCCGUUGGCUGCAUCAACGCCGACGGCCUCAUCGAAGAUGGAGUACCUGCCUCACAUUAUGUUCCUCCCCUCUACCCGCCCACAGUUUGCUACCGUCACGCACCAAAGCGAGGAGGUCGACGGCGCCGACAUCGACUGCGCGGAAAGCGCCUCUGGCGUCCUGGUGGUGAACCAGGAGAUUUGGUCGACGCGCUCGUCGCCAAAAUUUGAGCUCCGCGUGGCAGAGGUGACGAUUCCGAAUACGGACCUCGUGUUGCGGCGCGGCGCCACUUCCACAAACGGCGUCGCGUGCGGUGUCCUGCACAUCUACAGCGCAUAGAUCCUUGGCAAAGGGAAGGGAACGUGGGCAGGCACUGCAGAAGCGCGCGGUCGCUCUCCGCGGCGUGCACCCCUCCUUGCCCGUCAACUCUCACUGGAGUCUGACAGACUACGCCUGCUUUCGUAUCUUGUUUUCGCCGGUUUAUCGAGGAAAAUGUGAUGGAAAGGUACCAUAGAGAAUAUGUGCGCCUUGCGCGUGCCACUUACGAAUCGGUGUCGUGGUGAAUGUCGCUGUGCGCGGGACUGGGUCGGCGGGCGUUUAUGAUGAGCUAGCGGUCAACGAAAGCCGUGCAUGACGUGCGUGUCUCUCCCUCUCUGUAAAAGUCGUCGGCCUUUUUCCAGCCUAGCAGAAGCACACGCACGACACAAGUUGAACCAAAAGG